rnacentral:rRNA from 1 species
UACGUAGGGAGCAAGCGUUUGUCCGGAAUCAUUGGGCGUAAAGCGCGCGUAGGCGGCCUCGUAAGUCCGUUGUGAAAGUCAAAGGCUCAACCUUUGAAAGCCGAUGGAUACUGUGAGGCUAGAGUCCGGAAGAGGCGAGUGGAAUUCCUGGUGUAGCGGUGGAAUGCGCAGAUAUCAGGAGGAACACCAAUAGCGAAGGCAGCUCGCUGGGACGGUACUGACGCUAAGGCGCGAAAGCGUGGGGAGCGAACAGGA